UAGUCCACGCCGUAAACGAUGUGUGCUAGUUGUCAGGCCCUUAGGGUUUGGUGACGGAGCGAAAGUUUUAAGCACACCGCCUGGGGAGUACGGCCGCAAGGUUAAAACUCAAAGGAAUUGACGGGGACCCGCACAAGCGGUGGAGCAUGUUGUUUAAUUCGAAGCAACGCGAAGAACCUUACCUACACUUAACUAUCCUCUUGGGGUUUUCAGAGAUGAUUACUUUCGGUUCGGCCGGGGAGUGAAUAGGUGCUGCAUGGCUGUCGUCAGCUCGUGUCGUGAGAUGUUGGGUUAAGUCCCGCAACGAGCGCAACCCUUAUUGUCUGUUGCCAUCAUUUAGUUGGGCACUCUGGCAAGACUGCCGGUGAUAAGCCGGAGGAAGGCGGGGACGACGUCAAGUCAUCAUGGCCCUUACGUGUAGGGCUACAAACGUGCUACAAUGGCUGUGACAGUGGGCAGCGACCUCGCGAGAGGAAGCUAAUCUACCAAAAGCAGUCUCAGUUCGGAUUGUUCU
rnacentral:rRNA from 1 species